rnacentral:rRNA from 1 species
AUGAACGCUGGCGGCGUGCCUAACACAUGCAAGUCGAGCGGAGGUGUGGAGUAGUUUACUAUGAAGCAUCUUAGCGGCGGACGGGUGAGUAACGCGUGGGCAACCUGCCCUAUGCAGGGGGAUAACAUAUCGAAAGGUGUGCUAAAACCGCAUAAAGCUUAAGAAUCGCAUGAUUUUUAAGCCAAGGAUUUAUCGGCAUAGGAUGGGCCCACGUCUGAUUAGCUAGUUGGUGAGGUAACGGCUCACCAAGGCGACGAUCAGUAGCCG